rnacentral:lncRNA from 1 species
GCCACAUACUACCCCCAAGUUAUCUGCAGCUGCAUAUGGUUCCGGUUCUGCAGAGCGUCCGUACGUCUGUCCAUACGAAGGUUGUGGGAAAGCCUACAUCCAUGAGUACAAAUUGAAUCUCCAUUUUAGAAGGGAACAUCCCGGUCAUAACUCAGAGGAAAACGGUAAACCUUCUCCGGCUGUCGACCAAGCUGCGGAGGAAGGCAGUGAUCAGGAAGUGUACCUCGCAAAACGCAGCGUCGGCAAGAACUCAAAGCGGAGCAAGCCCAACCUGACGCCGCAGAUGCCACCUGCAAAAGUUUCGAACCGCAAAGGCACAAGUUCGACUCCC